rnacentral:sRNA from 1 species
AAAUUGAUAUCACGAUUGUUGUUGUUCUUCUUA